rnacentral:rRNA from 1 species
AGCGAACGUUAGCGGCGGGCUUAACACAUGCAAGUCGAGCGAGAGAGUGACUUCGGUCAUGAGUAAAGCGGCAGACGGGUGAGGAACACGUAGGUAAUUUUCCGUUCAAUGGGGGACAACGGUCCGAAAGGACCGCUAAUACCGCAUACGUUUCAUGGGACUUUGGUCCUGUGAAGGAAAGCUGGGCAACUGGCGUUGAAUGAGAAGCCUGCGUCGCAUCAGCUAGUUGGUGGGGUAAUGGCCUACCAAGGCGAAGACGCGUAGCUGGUCUGAGAGGAUGAUCAGCCACACUGGAACUGAGACACGGUCCAGACUCCUACGGGAGGCAGCAGUGGGGAAUAUUGGACAAUGGGCGCAAGCCUGAUCCAGCCACGCCGCGUGAGUGAUGAAGGCCUUCGGGUCGUAAAGCUCUGUGGGGAGAGACGAACCGCUGGGGUAACCCUUCAGCAUGACGGUAUCUCCUUAGCAAGCACCGGCUAACUUCGUG